rnacentral:rRNA from 1 species
UACAGAGGCCCCAAGCGUUACUGAGAAUCACUGGGUUUAAAGGGUGCGUAGGUGGCGCGUUAAGUCCGUUGUGAAAGCCCUGGGCUCAACCCAGGAACUGCUUCGGAUACUGGCGCGCUUGAGGCUAGUAGGGGUCACUGGAACUGACGGUGGAGCGGUGAAAUGCGUAGAUAUCAGGCGGAACACCCGUGGCGAAGGCGGCCAGCUGGGCCGUCCCUGACGCUGAGGCGCGAAGGCGUGGGGAGCGAACGGG